rnacentral:tRNA from 2 species
GGAGGGGUGUCCGAGCGGUUUAAGGAGCCGGUCUUGAAAAUCGGUGUCCCCUUUAUUGGGGCCGUGGGUUCGAAUCCCACCCCCUCCG